GGUAAUGUGGCUCAGUGGUAGAGCGCUUGCCUUGCAAGCAUGAAGCCCUGGGUCUGAUUCCUCAGUACCA
rfam:Dipodomys ordii contig_23470, whole genome shotgun sequence.